UAUAUGUGAGGUAUUGAUUUUAUGGGUCCAUUUCCUUCUUCUUUUGGCUUUGUUUAUAUAUUACUUGCUGUUGAUUAUGUUUCGAAAUGGGUGGAAGCCAAAGCCACUAGGACUGAUGAUUCUAAAGCUGUCAUAGGUUUUAUCAAGUCAAACAUUUUUAGCAGGUUUGGAGUUCCUAGAGCUUUAAUCAGUGACCGAGGCACACAUUUUUGUAAUAGAACUGUUGAGGCAUUGUUGAGGAGAUAUGGUGUUUUCCAUAGAGUAUCUACAGCUUAUCAUCCUCAAACAAGUGGGCAAGCAGAGGUGUCUAACAGAGAGAUCAAGUCUAUUUUGGAAAAAACAGUGAAGCCAAAUAGAAAAGAUUGGAGCUGUAGACUUGAUGAUGCUUUGUGGGCUUACAGGACUGCUUAUAAGACACCCAUAGGUAUGUCCCCCUACAGAUUGGUAUUUGGUAAGUUGUGUCACCUUCUUGUUGAGUGAGAACAUAAGGCUUAUUGGGCUGUUAGACAUUGUAAAUUGGAUUUGGAUACUGCUGGUGUGGAAAGAAAAUUACAAUUGCAGGAAUUAGAGGAAAUUCGACUUGAGGCUUAUGAGAACUCUAAGAUCUCUAAAGAAAAGACCAAGGCAUUCCAUGACAAACUAAUUUUAAGGAAGCAGUUUGUGAUUAGACAAAAAGUUUUAUUGUAUAAUUCCAUAUUGAAACUUAUGCUUGGUAAGUUGCAUUCUCAUUGGAUUGGACCCUUUGUUGUUACUAAUGUGUUUCCUUAUGGUGCAGUUGAUUCAAAGUUUAGGAACUAACAAAGUGUUCAAGUUCAACGGUCAUAGACUCAACCCAUUUUAUGAGGAGUUUCAGGAACAUUCAGUGGAGGAGCUCAAAUUGAGUAACCCAAUUUAUGUGGAUUAAGGAGCUUUGCCAUGUCAAGCUAACGACAAUAAAUAAAAGUGCUUCCUGGGAGGCAACCCGUGGGUGGCUUGUUAGCCAUAAUCAGAUUUAUUUUCUUUUCCUUAUUUUAUUUUAUUUGAUCAGAUUUAUUGGUCUGAGUUUAAUGAAAAGUGUUGGAAUGAACAAUUAUCGGGGCCACUGCUGCUGUUGUAAAACUAGCUAGGUUUCUUGCUUUUUGGGUCUUGUGCUUAUUAUGGGUCCCAUGGCAUUUAGACCACACUCAUCAUUUGCCUACCAAUUUUCUUGUUGGUAAAUUGAAAUAAUUGUUAAGCGCCUAGUAAGAAUUGAACUUGAACUCUUAAUGGUGAUCUUCAUUUUUUUUUUCCUUGGGGAUUCUAGAGCAAUUAUUUCUUUAUAUGGACUUCUCCUCUAGGAUAUUCUUUGAACAAUGAUAUUUUCAGGCAUAUGCUGUGUGUGUCUCUAGGAGCCUUGACUGUGAAAUAACUUAAGAGCUUGGAGAUACGAAUAGAGCAGAAUCUGUAGAAUUUGGUACAAAAAGAGAUCGAGUGUAUGCAGAAAAGGGAAAUUGAUUUGUACAACAAUAACCAGAUUCUCCGAGCAAAGGUUGAUCUCUCUCUCUCUCUCCCCUUUAUCAUCAUUUGCUUUUAUGGGGCAAGUGGUUGAAUGGCUAUUAAUUAAAUGGGUUCUCGCAAAUGCUGAGAAGGAAAGGAAGUAACAGAAUAUGAAUUUGAUGCCAGGAGGCAACUAUGGUAUCAUGC